CAGCAGCCGCGGUAAUACGGAGGGGGCUAGCGUUGUUCGGAAUUACUGGGCGUAAAGCGCACGUAGGCGGCUUGGUAAGUUAGAGGUGAAAGCCUGGAGCUCAACUCCAGAAUUGCCUUUAAGACUGCCGAGCUAGCAGGUGAGAGAGGUAAGUGGAAUUCCGAGUGUAGAGGUGAAAUUCGUAGAUAUUCGGAAGAACACCAGUGGCGAGGGCGGCCAUCUGGGACAACACUGACGCUGAGGCACGAAAGCGUGGGGAGCAAACAGGAUUAGAUACCCGCGUAGUCCCUGUCUCUUAUAC
rnacentral:rRNA from 1 species